rnacentral:lncRNA from 1 species
AAAAAAAAAAAAAGACAAAAAUUUCUAAACAUACAAGCUCCUUUUCUCUCUCCCCAGCUACCCCAAAUCAGCUCCCCUUCAACCCAUUUCCUCCCAAAAAAGAAAAUCACACAACGGGAAUUCUAAACGGAGAGGGAAAAAUAGAAUUGGGGCGGCAAAACAUGAAGCCCUUUUUGCUACUGCCGGCCAAGGUGCAUGUUUUUACAAAGAACCUGGCAUUGAAGCUCCCACUCCUCCAGUCCAUCUUCUCCAGUCCAGCCUAUUCUCCAUCUCCGGCACCGGGUCAUUACAUUCUACGAGGAACCCGGCAUUGAAGCUCCCACUCCUCCUAUCCAUCUUCUCCACUCCAACUUAUUCUCCAUUACUAGAUCUUUUUGUGACAGAUUUAGUUAGCAUUAUUGUAUAUAUACUACAAGCUUGUAUCAUUUCAUACAUAGAAAAAUGUACAGAAAUUUUGAUCCAUCUUUAUUUUUUUAUGUUCAACUCUAUUUGUGGAUAAUGUUGGGCAUUUUCUGAACUCUGCUUUGCAAAUGGGUAAAUGUUGAAGGUUUAAGGAGUUUUUAGGG